GUCGGGAGAGAUCGCUCAGGCGGCGCCGAAGGGGAACGCAGAAGCUCUCAGGCAAAAGGACCGGUU
rnacentral:ncRNA from 1 species